rnacentral:rRNA from 1 species
GGGUGAUCUGCCCUGCACUUUGGGAUAAGCCUGGGAAACUGGGUCUAAUACCGAAUACACCUCAUUGGUCGCAUGGCCUGGUGGGGGAAAGCUUUUGCGGUGUGGGAUGGGCCCGCGGCCUAUCAGCUUGUUGGUGGGGUGAUGGCCUACCAAGGCGACGACGGGUAGCCGGCCUGAGAGGGUGACCGGCCACACUGGGACUGAGAUACGGCCCAGACUCCUACGGGAGGCAGCAGUGGGGAAUAUUGCACAAUGGGCGCAAGCCUGAUGCAGCGACGCCGCGUGGGGGAUGACGGCCUUCGGGUUGUAAACCUCUUUCAGCAUCGACGAAGCGCAAGUGACGGUAGAUGCAGAAGAAGCACCGGCCAACUACGUGCCAGCAGCCGCGGUAAUACGUAGGGUGCGAGCGUUGUCCGGAAUUACUGGGCGUAAAGAGCUCGUAGGUGGUUUGUCGCGUUGUCCGUGAAAACUCACAGCUCAACUGUGGGCGUGCGGGCGAUACGGGCAGACUAGAGUACUGCAGGGGAGACUGGAAUUCCUGGUGUAGCGGUGGAAUGCGCAGAUAUCAGGAGGAACACCGGUGGCGAAAGGCGGGUCUCUGGGCAGUAACUGACGCUGAGGAGCGAAAGCGUGGGGAGCGAACAGGAUUAGAUACCCU